rnacentral:lncRNA from 1 species
GGAGCCAUUAUCUCUUAAGAUUCCCUACUUAAUACAGUUUUUUAGAGAGAAAAGAAGUUGUCAUUUACAGAAUUCAGAACAAUUCUGUUUAAAACACUUAUAAUAUAGUUGGGCUACUUGAUAAAUAUAAUUAAUUAUCUUUAUGUUAAUCACAAAAGCUUAAGGUCUCCUACAUCCAUUAAGGUUUUAAAUUUGUAUUUCUAUAGCCCCAUAAAUGUUUACAUUUAUGAUAAUAAUUAUAAAAGCAGACCAAUUUUGUGGACCUAAAAUGCUCAGCAAUAGCAUAUUAAAAAUUUAAAACCAUGAAUAUCUAACUUUUACACAAGAAACAUUUAAGCUGCAAACUUCUAAGGAAACCAUACCAAAAUUUUU